UAGUGGAAGCAGUCUGAUGAAAUUGCAUUAGGUACUUUCUUCAAGGUAGAGUUAUUUUUUGAAAUGUCACUAAAUAAUUUGUGGGUGGCAUUGUUGUUGUGUAGUAUUCCGUUUCUAACUAGUGCUAGGCCUGCUCCUGAUCCAGAUCCUAAUCCAUUUUUGGCUGCUUCCUUUGGCGUUGGAUGGCCUUAUUAUGGAUCGACAGUACGAUAUACUUAUUAUCCUUGGUAUUAUCCAUUUGGAUAUUAUGUAGGAUGAAUAAACUGAAUUAUUGAU